rnacentral:hammerhead_ribozyme from 1 species
AUUCAGCUGAUGAAUUCAAAAUGGAACGAAAUGCGCUUCCUGGAU